UAUUGUUGUUUGAUGGAAGUAUGUUUUUUUUAGGGUAACUUGCUAAGUGGUAACUAAUAACUACCACAAGUUUUUACAGCCAGUGGAAAGGCUUGAGGUUUCUUCUAAGACAAUGAAAGAACUUGGUAUGACAGAUUAAUAAAGGCAGCAUGUGGUCUAUUAUAUGAACAGUAGACUUUAAGGAGACAGGGAGGGUGGAGAGGGACCAAGUAAAACAUUUCUACAAUGGCUCAAGUCAAAGUUGAUUAUGACAUAGACAAAGACAAGAAAUAAAUAGAAGUUAUCAAAAAGGCUUGGUUUGGAAGAUCUCUUAGAGAUAGGAAUGAAAAGAGGGGGGUGGUGGGAGAAAGAACUACAGAAAUGUUCCAGAUUUACUACUCGAUAUAUAUUUUUAAAAAAAUUCUCCAAAGCUCAGAAUAGAGAAUUUGCCAAAAAGCCCAUCACUCAUGAUUCAUUUGUCAUAAGCCUCUACUCAUUACCAUGAAAUUAUUCAGUCAUAAUUGCUGUCUUACUGAAGCAUACAGUUGACACAGUGAAGUCUCUGCUUUCACAGAACUUUAUACUUCUGAGUAAUGACUUUGUCUAUGCCAUGGGAUGGACGUCCUAUUCAUAUUGUGUCAAUAAACCUCAAUUAACAAUGUAAAAUUAAUGAAAAUAAUGUGAGUUAUUUAUAUUAGUUUAUGUGGUAGAAGAGUACUUAAUGACAACAAACUUGGUGUAUGUGAAUAUUAAAUUAUUGUAAAUUAUUUAAAAACAAUAAGAACUAGCCUUACAUUUCACCCCCCUGGACACUGUUUUCAAGAGAAGGAAGGAAACAUUCAAGAAAAAAUAAGAUAUAACUUAGCAUAAAUAAACAGAAAGAAUAUAAAUCUCUUUCACUUUUCUUUUUUUUAAUUUGGCAAUAGAACUGUUGAUAUUACCACACUAUCUGGCUCUCUCUUUUUCCUUUAUCAGUAAACUACCCACAUUUUAACUGGGCACAUUCCUGUCAAUCUGAUGAGAAUCUAUUUCAUACCCUGCUUUAGCUGGUAGUCUGUCAAGGAAAUGAGCUGAACAUGUCUGUGUACAGCUUUUGUGCCAUCCCUGGAUGAGCGAGCUGUCUGCCUCUAUGUUCUCCACAAAAUGGAAUAUAGCUGUACACCCAAGCCAAGUUAUGGAGGCUGGGAAGACCUAGAAUGUGGCAUCACUAUUUGGUAAGAACCUUCCUAUGUCAUUGUAGAGUGAGGGACUUGGGUACCACAUGGCAAGGCAUAGUACCCAAAUCCCUUUCCUUCAUAAAAGUAUUAAUGUCAUCAAAGAGGCCCCACCACCAUGAUGCCAUCUGGGGCCUCAUGACCCCAAUGCCUGAUGCCAAAGACUCCCACCUCAAAAUACUUUUUUCUUCAGCAUAACAUUUUAUUAAUUAUCUGGGAAUUUCACAUCAUGUACUCCAAUCACACUCAGUUCCCAGUCCUUCCAUGUCAGCCCCCACCCUUGUUACUUGCCCCCCAAAAGAGGAAAAUUAAAACUAAGAAUUAAAAAAAAUUAAAAAAAUUAAAAUACACAAGUCCAAUUUAUGUUACCUAUAUACUCACUGAAGCAUGGUCAGAUUCUCAGUGGCCUGGCCCUUAAAUAGAAGUGAGUCUUCCCCCUCCUGCAUCUGAAGCCAUUAAUUGCGUAGAGCUACACUUCAACAUCUACAUCACACUUUCAAAGAGUUCUCUUCAGUGGAUUCCUGUUCUAGACCAUUACUUUGGAGACAGGGGUAGGGGAUUGUCACAAAAAGCCUUCCAUGUCCCUUCGUCUCAGUUGUACACCUGCAGUCAUCAAUAUCCCAGUGUAACUAGUCCCCUUGUUCUUCAUAGUUAGUGGAAACAUGGAUCAUGGGCCUCUCAAGGUUUCUGAUAACAUCCCAGACCAUGAACAUGGCCCUCAGGUGCAGGAGGACCACAGAUCCAGACAAAGACCAGAUCACAGCCAUAAAAAUAGCCUCAGGUGGCAGCAAAGGCCACUCAGAUUAGUAUGGCCUUUGGUGGCAGCACUAUCCAUAAACAUCAACGUAGCUUCAGGCAGCAGCACAGACUGUGAACAUCUCAUGGUCUUCAGUGGUAACACAAGCCAUGGAUAUCUACCUACAGCAGAACCAUAUAUAGAUUUGAUAAGUUUCCACACAUGAACCCAGGACACAUUUAAAUCAUGGCAGUCUACAUCCUGAUCCUUCCCUUGUC
rnacentral:lncRNA from 1 species